ACAAAAUAGUUUUAGCCUCCGGUUUAAAGCCGAUAUUGACUUUACAGUGUAAACAGAUAUUGGGUUUCCAUUAUAGUAUUUCGCAAUAUUGCAUCAGCCGGUUACGACUAGUUUUAUCAAUACACAUAACAUUCUUUACUGUUUUAAGUAUUAUAACGAAAAAAGUGGAAUUUAAGCAACUGAAAUGUAUUCAAGAAUUCUACAAAGAUAUUAUUAGCCAGACGAAUUACAACGUGAAAAAUCCAAGACUUUAUAAAGACAACGAACGUUUAACACAAAAUAUAUCAUCGGAAGACUUCAAGAAAAGAAUGUUAACCAUAGCAUGGUUGAAUAUCAUAAUACUUUCAUGUUGUGAGAAUUACUCAACCAUAGGAUUAUACCAUAAUCGUACGCAUGGUUGAAUAUCAUAAUACUUUCAUGUUGUGAGAAUUACUCAACCAUAGGAUUAUACCAUAAUCGUACGCAUGGUUGAAUAUCAUAAUACUUUCAUGUUGUGA
rnacentral:lncRNA from 1 species